UCCUGGUGGGUAUGGUUUAAAGCUACUC
rnacentral:piRNA from 1 species